rnacentral:rRNA from 1 species
GACGAACGCUGGCGGCGUGCUUAACACAUGCAAGUCGAACGGAAAGGCCCUGCUUUUGUGGGGUGCUCGAGUGGCGAACGGGUGAGUAACACGUGAGUAACCUGCCCUUGACUUUGGGAUAACUUCAGGAAACUGGGGCUAAUACCGGAUAGGAGCUCCUGCUGCAUGGUGGGGGUUGGAAAGUUUCGGCGGUUGGGGAUGGACUCGCGGCUUAUCAGCUUGUUGGUGGGGUAGUGGCUUCCCAAGCCUUUGACGGGUAGCCGGCCUGAGAGGGUGACCGGCCACAUUGGGACUGAGAUACGGCCCAGACUCCUACGGGAGGCAGCAGUGGGGAAUAUUGCACAAUGGGCGCAAGCCUGAUGCAGCAACGCCGCGUGCGUGAUGACGGCCUUCUGGUUGUAAACCGCUUUCGCCUGUGACGAAGCGUGAUUGACGGUAAUUGGUAAAGAAGCACCGGCUAACUACGUG